rnacentral:lncRNA from 1 species
AAAUACUUAUAUUGAAGCAAUACACCAGGGGUUUUCCGAUGGGACAAGUCCGACCAUGCCAAAAAGUUGAAUCUCAUGCGGUCCUUCUUCUGUGCAACAUUGGAUUUGAUAUCUGACCACAGAUCUCCAGAUUGAUCGGAAGUAGCAGCCGCAGGACUUGCUCCAUCAGCUGAAUUUUCUCCAACCGAAGAUGCUUGUGAUCCAGAAGAAUCUAGCGUAUCUGGUGGUAUGGGGUAUCCGUUAUGAAUCAUCCAUCUAACAGGAAGAUCUUUAUAGUUCAGUCCUGUGCUCGGGAGUUUAUAAAUUCCUUCUAAAAUAUCAAUGAAAUGAUCUGGAGGAUUAACGCGAUCAGGUACAGUAAUUCCAAUGCCUGCAAAGUACUCUUCAACUGUCUUUACUGGUCCAUGAUAUACGGUAAGGCCGCCCUUGGCUAGAAGUACCAAAUCGUCAAACAUUCUGAACAAAGAAUAGCUGAAAAAGGAAGUGAUUACUGAGAUAGGGUGUCAAAAUUAAAGCGAUUUGAAAGAUCAUCGUUAUGCUGGAGGAAAAACUACUUAAAGUUAUAUGAUUAUAAUUCCACAUGUUUUGUGAUUGCAAUAUGUUCAAUGAGUGCGAGGACAAACAAAAAGAUAAAGCAAUAGAUAAAAGACAACAUGAUAACCACCAAGGAAUGCAAAUGGAAGAAGAUGAAUAGAGUAAGACCAAAAAGACUUAGAGGCUAUCAUUCGCAACAUUACCUUGGCUGGUGCACCACCAUGCAUACGUUCACUCCUUCAAUAGCUUCCCGACGAGUAGCUCUGAGUAACAAUUGAGAUGAAGAGCUAUCCAAACCAGAAGUUGGUUCAUCUAAGAUUAACAAAGAAGGUUCCAUAACCAUUUCCCGCCCAACGUUGACUCUCUUCCUCUGACCCCCAGAGAUGCCUCGCUUCUCCACUGUCCCCACGAGAGAAUCUCUCACAGGUUGCAAUCCCAGGGACUCUAUCACUCUUUCAACAACUAAAACCUUUUCUGGUUUAGGCAAAUCAGAUGCCAGUCUGGAAGAGUGAUUCAACAAAGAAGAGUAGACUAGAGUCAGUCGUCAUAUGAAUAUAGUAGUAUCGAAAAAACAGCAGGCUAACAAGUGAAAGCAGUAGCAAAAAAGCAAACUAACUUCCUUUUGUAUAAUAUAAGCUGGUCAUAUCUCUGCCUAGUUUGUGUUUUGACAACAAUAGAUGGCACGGAGGUUUCAGACCCUCACAUGAAUACUUCGAAAGUUUCAUUGACAAGUGUCAGUCAGUGGUUCCUGAUAAUAAGGGUAUGCAUGUAGCAGUCCAGAGUACGAAGGAAAAAGAAAUGCAUGACCUUUCCAAAGAACAAACUACUGGAAGCUGUCACCACCAAAACGUAGACUGAUGGUUGAAGUCAUGAAACUUAUGAAGUAAAAGAAUGCCAUGCGAAAAAUGAUGUUAUAUGAAUGCAUAGAUUCGUAAUAAUAGAACUACAAUAGCAUACCUGCACCGAGCACUAAACCAAAGAUUCUCCUCCACAGUUAAAUUUUCAUGUACUAUGUCAUCUUGAGGUACAAAGCCAAUGAUUUUCUUGUAUGACUGCACUGGUUCAGGCUUCCCAUUUAUGAGAAUCACUCCGAUCACGGUACACCCAGCAGCCUUCCCAGUCAAUGCAGAAAGAAACGUUGUCUUUCCAGCACCAGAUGGACCCAUAACAGCCGAAACACGGCCAGGUGAUAAUUUCCCUGAUACACACCUCAAUAGAUGCUUGGUUUUACCCUUCAAAGUAAGUGUCAAAUCUUUGAAACACACCUCAAUAGGAGGUCUAGUUCUAAUCUCAAUAGCACUUGCCAUCGAGAUUACACCAGAAAAUGUCAAAUCCUUAUUCUGCUCCUGCAAUGCUUUUUCUUUCUCAAUUUGACCAUACGCAUAUUUAAAGAAGAAGCAAGUUAUCGGAGAAGCUUGUUGGUUAGUUGUAACUUGUUAGAGAUGAAAAUCUUAAAAAAAAGGGCAGCGUGGUGCACUAAAGCUACCGCUAUUCACGGUGUCCGGGGAAGGGCUCCACCACAAGGGUGUAUUGUACGCAGUCUUACCUUGCAUUUCUACCAAGCUGUUUCCAAGGCUUGAACCCGUGACCUCCUGGUCACAUGGCAGCAACUUUACCAGCCUUAGCUUACGAGAAGAAAAUGUAAAAUGUUAUAUCUCGUGCGAUCUGUCCUUCUUUUGGGUUCAGUUAUGUUGUUUAUGCAGCCGUUACUCUACUAUUAUUUGAAAAAGAUAAGUAGAAAUUAUGUCCAGACUAAUCCCUCCCAUUUCCUCCUCCUUCUGUAAGGAAACAGCGGACAUUAGCUAAAGACAAAUCUGUUCUUUCUGUCAUGCAUUUCUCACUUUACUUCUCCCGCGUCAAGCCUAAAAAGUUUAAGACAUGCACGACCAUACUAGCUAACAAUCCAGGAACAUUAUGACAUUAUCUCAAAAGUAAAACCUUAUAUAGAUAAUCAAUAUUUGCACAGCCUAGGAGUGAGGAGAUGACUUACAAAAAACAUAAUACCAUAAGCUGUGAUAUUUUGAUUACUUGACUUUGAUUCACAAAUAGCUAACUUAUAGCAGCCUGCAUGUCCAUAAUAAUAGAUAAAUUCUUGAUCACGAUGAUGAUGAUGAUGGCAAUGUUAGAGCAUAAAAUAUUUCCAAAAAUAGAAAAGAACAUGUAGUGAGUUGUUACUUGAUACUAUAACUUUUCAUCUUGACGUAUUAUCUUCAAGUUACAAAUAACACAUAUUCAGUAACAUGACAACUAUAAGAUGUACCAUCUUUCUCAUAGUAGAGAAGAACGCGAGGCACAUCCCACUACCAAAAUAGUAAUCUUGUUAACGUGGAUGUCCAACAUGCUCUUAUCUUGAUACGUCUUGCUCAUUUCUAGUAAGAAUUAUUGGAUAUGCAUCUAGCAUAUUUUAACAGUACUAGAAACCUAGGCAAAGAAGACAAUUGGAUAUAGUUUUCCUUUUUGUAUUUCACUUGGAACCUGACAAGCUGCUACGUCACGCCAAGGAGAUUUCUUUUUUCCAGUGUGUGUGUGUGUUCUUUUUCCUUUCGUAUUUUGCUUUAGAAAUAUGGUAAAAGUGAGACAACACAACCAAACAGGCAUUUUUACUAGUACGAUAUAUCUAAAAGGAUCAAAUAAGUCAUUAUUACGUGUUUAUUCAAAGUCAAAGAUAAGAAAUGAAGCAACAAAGAACCUAAUACAGAGACAAAACAGACUGUCACAUGAGAUGAAGACUUACUUGUUUGAGACGUAGAACCAGUUCUACAGUAAUGCCUGGAAAAAAAGCAAAAACAAACAGUAUGAUAAGCGAAUGGAUUAGCAUGAGCUUCUAAUAUGAGCAAAAGGAUGAACAAGUUAAACAGAAAUAGCAUUUUGCGGGGAAAGAGAAAGCACGGUGAGAUACAUAUUCUCCGGUUUUGGGAUAAAUAUAAUUACCCUUUAUUGCAAGGUAAUUUCAGGGCAGUAGUUGGACAGUAAUAUCCUGAUGGACAAAAGAUUUCAGUAGUACUCCGAACAUCAGCCCAAACUUCUGCUCCACUGCAACUAUGAUUUAUCUGCCCUGGAGGAGGUUGAUAAUGGUACCUGCAUAUUUUGAGACAGGAAAUAUGAGUUGAAGGAUGCAAAAAGAAUACGGUCAAGUAAGAAUAAGAACUACAUAAGAUGUACGAAACUUAUGGGUCACACACACCAGUCUCGCUAUUGAGUGUUGAAAGAGGGCAAAACGCGCCUAGUGGACAAGCUUCAACCAGAAAAUAGGAAAAUAAACAAACAUAAAACUGAUACGAACGAGAGAAUCAACUUAUAGAAUUAUGCCAAAGGUGCAACUUGUGAUUUUGCCAAAGCAAAUUGUUUGAGCACAUCUACUUCAGAUAGUGGCCAUGAUUUCAAUGACUAUAAGAUAAUAUUCUUGUAGAUACUUACGUAUCAUGCAGGUGAGACCACGAGGACAGAAGAAACCUUCACAACAAGGUUCACACUCAAGAAUUCUAAGUGGCAUUUUGUUUAAAUCAAGGUCAACCGGAUUGUCUCCAAUGCUACAAGCCCAUCCUGGCUCACAUCCAUUAACCCAUGAUGAUAGAUUACAAUUUGUGUAGGUUUCAGGUUACCUCUUCCACCGCCUUUCAUUAAAAGUUGAGAAUAGAACUUUAACUCCGGUGCUGUAUACAAGCGCCUUAGUAUAUCACCUAUUCAACAACCGAAGACGUUGUGAAUACGAAAAUAAAGACAGUAGAACCCUGGAUUAUCAUGAUGUACAACGUAUACAACAUUAUGAACUAGAAUAGCAGACCUCGAACUAGAAAAAAUACAACCUCAGAGAAUCUUAACCAGAAAAUUAGUACCUUGUGUUUUUUUAAUGCAAUCUGUUAAAAAAUCUGUGUUCUCGCUGAAAUUAAAAGCUUUAUUCCAUUCAGCAUCCCUACAACACGAUCAGAAUUCAUCAACUGAAAAUUAGCUUUCUCUUUAGACGAAUUGUCAAAGACAACACUAUCAAAGAUGAAUUGUCAAAGACAACGCUAUCACAACUAAAGUGAAACAAGAUUUUGGAAAAGCUUUUGCCGGUUGGCUUAAUGACAUAGGAAUUGAAGAAUAUAACCUUUCCUAAAGCAACAUAAGAGACCGUUUUCGAGACAAUUUUUCAAUUAUGAGACAAUUGUUACUGCUUAUGUUUCCCUAAAUGCUGUGAUUAUGCUUUCCUUGAGCUAAGGGUCUAUUGGAGACAACCUCACCUGCACCCAAAGUCGGGUAAGGUCGUGUACACUCUACAGUCUCCAUAACGCCACUUGUGGGAUUAUACUGGGUUGGGUAUCGCUAUUGUUGUUGUCGUUCUAAAUUUCAGCAAGUAUUUGUUAGCAAGGUUAAUCCUAAUGCAAGAAGAAUUUAGACAGAAUGGAGAAGGAUUCACCAGACCUUCUAGCAUUUGCAAUUAUAAAUACUUCCAAGGCCCACUUUGAAUAGAUAUAAUCUCCAACUAUCGCAGUGAACUUACUGUCCUUGCUUGGUACAAGGGUCAAGACAACUGGAAGCAACACCGACCACUGAAAGACACAUCAGUUUGUUAGUAGAGAAUUGCGGCAAUAGAGGAUAACGGUUGGAGUUGAUACGUAUAGUAAGAUCAAAGUACUGAGUACACACCAGUUGAGCUUGACCAGGUUCAAAGUAGAUGGCAAGUGCAUAAGCUAUCCCAGUAACACAAACACAAAGCAAGACGAGAUAGUUAUCCAAAAUUGAAGAUCUUGGAUUGUUGAAGAAGUAGAACAUUGAUAGAUAAACUGCAGGCUUUACAAUAGUAUUGAUAUGUUCAACGGUAUCCUUAGCCAUAAAGUAUGCCAAACUGCUCAUGCCAGAUGCACUCUCUCUCCAGUAGUGUAAUUUAUCUAGAGAAAAUGACCUCAAAGACGCAAUCUUGAUGAGAAGAGCUGCAAAACAUUUUGGAAGAUUAGAACUUAGGUAAAGUGAAAAAUGGUAAUGAAGAUUUAUGAAACUAACAGUACCAAUCUUUCAUAUAAGUUUGUAAAACCAUAAAAAGAUACAAUACCAAAAUAAGGACUAUGCGCAGGGUCUAGGGAAGGGCCCGACCACAAGGAUCUAGUGUACGCAGCCUCACUUACAUUUCUGUCAGAGGCUGUUUCUAAGGCUUGAACCCGUGAUCUCCUGGUCACAUGGAAGCAACUUUACCAGUUACUCCAAGGCUCCCCUUCAACUCAUUAUUGGUACCAACAUUUACAAAUUGUCAGCAUUAACAAAGAAGCGGAAUUACAAGUGAUAACAUAGAGAUGAAGUGCAUGAUUUUAAAAUCGGGAACUUUUUCUCCUAAAUUUGCAACCAUAGCUAAUCAACUGUCUUUAAGUCAUCAGUCCUCUUAAAGAUAAAAAGCCUGAAGUAUGUACACUGUUCAGAGGUUUUGAACUUACGAACUGCAAUGACGGUGUAAAGGUACCCCAUAAAUCCAAAUGUUUCAUCACUCACGUCAGCAAGUGUUCCCAAACAGAUUCCAGCAAGUAAUAGAAUAAGACAAUCAACUGCUUGUAGCCUGGCUUCUCGCAAUCGCUGCUUCCCGACUCUGACAAUGUGAAGUAUAUCAUACAUGUCAACCAUCAAAAUGAAUGCAAACUCAAAAACAUUUGUAAAUCAACUAAAACUUUCACAUGAAUACUCCCCCCUAAGUGUCCAUAGAAGCUUCUCAGUUGGUCAUGCUACUUAGAAGCUCCAGCUGUGCGCGGGGUUUGGGGAAGGGCCGGACCAUAAGGGUCUGUUUUAAGUAGCCUCACGUUACAUUUCUGCAAGGGACUGUUUCUACGGCUUGAACCCGUGACCUACUGGUCACAUCGCAGCAACUUUACCGGUUACUCCAAGGCUCCCCUAACAUAUAAAAGAAAGAAGUACAGCAGAGAAAUCCCAAACAUUGGCAUAUAGGAUUGCAAGCACAAAAUAAACACAUAGACAUAGACAUCUUGAAAAAUAAUUAGAAGGUAUACAACUGAAAAGGAGAGAAACUUAUAUAUACCUAUAUACACAUGCAUCUUGAACAUUAAUUAGAAGGCAUACAAGUGAAAAGGAGAGAAACUUGUUAUUACCUUACAAGGAAAUACUUAUAUUGAAGCAAUACACCAGGGGUUUUCCGAUGGGACAAGUCCGACCAUGCCAAAAAGUUGAAUCUCAUGCGGUCCUUCUUCUGUGCAACAUUGGAUUUGAUAUAUGACCACAGAUCUCUAGAUUGAUCGGAGGUAGCAGCUGCAGGACUUGCUCCAUCAGCUGAAUUUUCUCCAACCGAAGAUGCUUGUGAUCCAGAAGAAUCUAGCAUAUCUGGUGGUAUGGGGUAUCCGUUAUGAAUCAUCCAUCUAACAGGAAGAU